rnacentral:rRNA from 1 species
CUAACGUUGACCCGUAAUCCGGGUUGCGGACAGUGUCUGGUGGGUAGUUUGACUGGGGCGGUCUCCUCCUAAAGAGUAACGGAGGAGCACGAAGGUUGGCUAAUCCUGGUCGGACAUCAGGAGGUUAGUGCAAUGGCAUAAGCCAGCUUGACUGCGAGCGUGACGGCGCGAGCAGGUGCGAAAGCAGGUCAUAGUGAUCCGGUGGUUCUGAAUGGAAGGGCCAUCGCUCAACGGAUAAAAGGUACUCCGGGGAUAACAGGCUGAUACCGCCCAAGAGUUCAUAUCGACGGCGGUGUUUGGCACCUCGAUGUCGGCUCAUCACAUCCUGGGGCUGAAGUAGGUCCCAAGGGUAUGGCUGUUCGCCAUUUAAAGUGGUACGCGAGCUGGGUUUAGAACGUCGUGAGACAGUUCGGUCCCUAUCUGCCGUGGGCGCUGGAGAACUGAGGGGGGCUGCUCCUAGUACGAGAGGACCGGAGUGGACGCAUCACUGGUGUUCGGGUUGUCAUGCCAAUGGCACUGCCCGGUAGCUAAAUGCGGAAGAGAUAAGUGCUGAAAGCAUCUAAGCACGAAACUUGCC